UCGUGGCUCAGUCAGUAGAGCAUGAGACUCUUAAUCUUAGGGUUGUGGGUUCGAGGCCCACAUUGAGGAAAA